GGAGGAGUAACACUGUACAAAUCAGGGUUCUGUUCAAAGAAAAACAACCUCAGUAAACCAGGGCCCUUACAACAAGAUCAGGAAUGCCAACUGCAGCAAUCAGAAGAAAGUGAAGUUGUUCAUAAACAAAUUCCAGAUCAGAUCCGCAUAAAUUUGAUAACAAACCAACAAUAUUUCGCACAGGAUUAAAUACCUCACCUCAGCCUGUUGAGCAGAGAUCAGACAGUGAAGAUGUGACAGCUGGUGUUUUCGAAGCAGAAUGAGAAGGCUGUUAAGCCCAUGAAAUAUCAUCCACUCACUCAUUACCCAUAACCACUUAUCCUAAGGUAGGGUUCCUACAGUCUACUCAACUGACCAGGCUACUCCAUGUUCACCCUGGACAGGAUGACAGUCCAUCACAGGACAGUGACACACGCACAAAGUGCAAUUAAGUGUCACCAAUCUACCCGAAGCAUGUUUUCGGACUGUGGGAGGAAACCUGAGCACCUGCAGGAAACCCACACAAACAUGGGGAGAACAUGCAAACUCCAAGAGUGAACUAAGCAAACCUACAUCACGUUGUUCAGUCCAGGUGCUGGAAGUUGUACCUGCUGACACCCUCUUCUGAAGUAUUAUUUUGUGAAAUGUUUUUCUGGAGUUUUUAUAAAUUGCUUCACAUAGAGUUUUUUAAGAAUUUUGCAACAUAUGAAUCAUGGAACACAAUACUGUAGACAAAUGGAAUUAGAGAAAUGGGAUUAAUUCCAGUUACAUAAUUAUGGAUGACACAUGUAUGGAGAUUAACGGUUUCAAGUUAGAAAAUGCCAAUUAGAAGUUCUUCAGAAUCUUUGAAAAGCAUAAUUAAUGGAAAUACCAUGACUUAUGACCGAACUAGUCACGUGACAUCAUCUUGGGACAAAGUUUAACACCAUCUGUAGCACAGUCACUGGCACAUGCAGUUUUAUACUCUACAAAUCACCUGAAAUGCAUGUCUUUGGGCAGAAACCAACAUGAAUGUAGAGAGAACAUGCAAAGUGAACAGGUUGAGCUGGACUGAUACCCCCAUCCAAAUGUAGAGGUGAGGCAGUAAUGCCCUUUUUUUUAAAAAAAUUAGGACAACUCGUGGUCUCAUAGAUUGAGUUAUGUCUGAAGGAUCUAGGCUCAGAUCCCUGUGUCUGCCAUUAUCCUGAACUGUUACAGUAAAAAAACUACCCGGAAUUAAUGGUAUAUCAGUGUAAAAAGAUGUAGAGAAAAACAGGAGUGAGUCCUCAUUGACUAGUUUCACCUGUUAUACCUCUGUGAUCAUGUCCCCAUUUUGACUGUCCAAAACAUGUCAAGUUGU